rnacentral:misc_RNA from 1 species
GGGUACUCUCAUUUUUCUCCCACUAUGUUCAUCUAAAACAUAUAUCACAUGCCUCAGAAUGAUAAAUUGGAGGUUCAAAAGCCUUGCCAGAAAUUUUAACUUCAUCAUGGAAAUAGCUUUAAUAGAUUAAAUAGCCCCAUCAUGAAGAGGAUGGCAACCCAAAGAUGGAUAUCAUUUACGAGAUAAAGAAUUGAAGAAGCCUAAGGUGGAUAAUUGCAUAUCAAAA